rnacentral:rRNA from 1 species
GAUGAACGCUGGCGGCGUGCCUAAUACAUGCAAGUCGAGCGAACAGACGAGGAGCUUGCUCCUCUGACGUUAGCGGCGGACGGGUGAGUAAAACGUGGAAAACCUACCUAUAAGACUGGGAUAACUUCGGGAAACCGGAGCUAAUACCGGAUAAUAUAUUGAACCGCAUGGUUCAAUAGUGAAAGACGGUUUUGCUGUCACUUAUAGAGGGAUCCGCGCCGCAUUAGCUAGUUGGUAAGGUAACGGCUUACCAAGGCAACGAUGCGUAGCCGCCCUGAGAGGGUGAUCGGCCACACUGGAACUGAGACACGGUCCAGACUCCUACGGGAGGCAGCAGUAGGGAAUCUUCCGCAAUGGGCGAAAGCCUGACGGAGCAACGCCGCGUGAGUGAUGAAGGUCUUCGGAUCGUAAAACUCUGUUAUUAGGGAAGAACAAAUGUGUAAGUAACUAUGCACGUCUUGACGGUACCUAAUCAGAAAGCCACGGCUAACUACGUG